GCUCAUCCAGGCUUUGAGGCCAUGAGCACAAGGGUUGGCUAGAAGGAUAACCACUGCAGUCAAACACCUUCCUCAGAGACUAGAAUUCAGUCAUCUUCUUAUGUGUGUCUGCUUUCUUCUGCUCCCGCUGCAGACUGGCUUCCUGGGCCUGCAGCUGCCCCAGCUGCUUGUGUGCAUUAGCCAGCUUCUCCUCCAGCUGGGCGGUAGCAAUGCUGUGUCGCCCAAUAUUGCGUGCCAGGGCCUGCUGGAUUCCUUUGAUAUCCCUCUGUGUUUGUUCAAUCUUCUCCAUGGUCUGGAAGAGGCGGACGCUCAGGGCCUUCUUGGUGCUUUUGCUAGCGUGGUAGAUCUCUUUGCUUUUCCUCUCCGGCAGUGCCAUACCUCCAGCCUUCUCCCCAGUGCUCUUCCCUCGCAGUUUCUCAUUCAGAAAGUCAAACACAUUGCGGGGUGGUUUGCGGCUGCCUGCAGGGGACCUCCCAGUGUUAUUUCCCUUUGCUCGGGAUUUCUUCGAAUUGCCAGGGUCCAG
rnacentral:lncRNA from 1 species